GAAAUGCGAUAAUUAAUGUGAAUUGCAGAAUUCCGUGAAUCAUCGAGUCUUUGAACGCACAUUGCGCCCCCUGGUAUUCCGGGGGGCAUGCCUGUCCGAGCGUCAUUGCUGCCCAUCAAGCACGGCUUGUGUGUUGGGUCGUCGUCCCCUCUCCGGGGGGGACGGGCCCCAAAGGCAGCGGCGGCACCGCGUCCGAUCCUCGAGCGUAUGGGGCUUUGUCACCCGCUCUGUAGGCCCGGCCGGCGCUUGCCGAACGCAAAUCAAUCUUUUUCCAGGUUGACCUCGGAUCAGGUAGGGAUACCCGCUGAACUUAAGC
rnacentral:misc_RNA from 1 species